rnacentral:lncRNA from 1 species
CUUCGUCCUGAUCUUGCUGCAGCUGGUCUCGUCCAAUUCGAGCAGAACUUCUGCAACUCAUCCAUCUGGUCGUAGGCAGGUUGUAAGAUUUGUGGAGAGUGGGAAACGAGAGAAAUGCGAGACGAUUGUAGAAUACGCUGAAUCGUAUUCUUGAGAGAAGCCGCCGCACCAAAAGCCGCCAUACCCAAAUUAUCAGCUCAGCUCAGCUAUUUUCCUCCAAAAUGAAGCUUAAAGUCAACUGCAAUUCAGUCGCCUAACAAAGAAUUGGAGAAGAAGAAGGAAUUAUAAUAAGCAAAUAGAGAUGAAACAAAUGAUAGAUCUCAGCUCUCUGCUUACCUCUUGGAGGAGUUGGCGCAAGUCCACGGCGGCGGCAGCUGGUUUUGAUACAAAUUCAGAAAUAUUCAAUACCACAUUCAAGAACUUUAGUAAAUGAUUUGAAAAAUGUGUUAUAUGUAAUGGUAAAAUCGAUCAAUUGAUGAUUUUGAAGGCAAUUGUGUGGAAGAAUAGUAGCAAGAAAUUAUGAAGAUCGAGCAAUCAAGCAGUUGAAAAUUAUGAGAGCUGCUUCAAAAAUUAGUAGGUACAUAAUUAAUGGGGCAUGACCGCAUGACACCCAUCAUUGUUGUUUGACAUAAUGUCCAUCCAAUUUAAACUUAAAGAAUGAAAAUUGUACUCCUUCCCUCCGUCCCACGAAUCUUGACACGUUUGAUUUUGACACGAGAAUUAAAGAAUUAUAGAUUAGUAUUUUAAGUGUGUGAUUAAUAAAGUAUAAAAGUGAUAAGGUAAGAUAGAGAAGAUAAUAAAAGUGAUAAAGUAGGAGAGAGAAGAUAAUAAAAGUGAUAAUGUGUCAAUCACUUAAGAGAAAAGUUUUCUGCUCCUAGGAAAGUUAAUGUUAAUAAAUAUAGAAACCAAGCAUAUUUUUUAAAUUCGUAAGUUCCAAUAUUUGUGUAAUAGAAUUAUACACCUAUUUCAACUUUAAUUCGAUUAAAAUUGUCAUAUAACUACAUAGAAGAGGCAAUUACCAUACUAAUAUUCUUUGCACUACUCGAGUUUUCAAAAUUACCAAAUAAAUCUCAAAAUCAAUUUAUCGGCUGAGAGCACCAAUAAUACCCUUUCUCGAUUUUUUACUUUAAAAACUUAACUUGAUUUUGAAAAUCAAAUAAUCAAAAUACUUUCCUUGCAAAAUUAUAUAUAAUACUUUAAUUUAUUUCAAAUAAACUAUUUUCACGUUCUAAACCAUAUAACCAAGUAAUUGAUAGUGCACGUAAUUACUUAUUAUGCAAAUUCAUGAUUUGACAAAAUUCUACGUCGAUCAAUUACUAUUCUCCUUUCGUUUUAAAAAAAUAAAAUUACUAUUCUCCUUUUAAAUUUACCAUGGCCCAAGUUAUCAAAGCCCAUCACAUAAUUAAAUUAACCCCAGUUUUGGGCCUAAUCUAUUAAUUUUAGCACCUCGGCCCAUUUCCAUUUUAAUCAACAAACUCUUAAAUGCCAAAAUCCCCCCCAAAAAAAAAUAUAGACAAUUUCUCCUUCAAUUUGUUUUUAACCCAUUAUAACUUGAUUUGAAAUUAUAAUUUUUUUGUAAGAGUAAGAAAACACUAUAUAAAUGAAAAGGUUAUUAAUUUAUCUAUAAACUUUUUAGAUCCCAAAGUUAUUAAUUUAUAGAAAUUGCGUUGUACUUUUUUUAAAAACCUAGCGGUCAUACCAAAUUUCAAACACAUACAUAUUAAAGUAUGAUAAUAUUUAUAUACAACUUAGUGUAUAUGUGAUAUGUGCCUUAAGGGGAGGGCAAUGAUGAAAACAACUUUUAAAGGAGUAUAAAAUAGGAAUAGAUUUACACCAUUGAUCUAUCCAUAAUCUAACGGUUGGGAUUUAAUAUUAGAGAAAUCGUAUUUAAAUGUAUGAAUUUUUCGUGUAAAUGUCUUAAUAGCAAAAAUUAAAUAAAUAGCAUCAAUGUAUACAAGUAUGAGAAUAUAAAUAGCAUCAAAUGAUAUGAAAAUGAACAAAAUAUAAUAUAAUAUAAUAGGAGUUUGCUGAUAUAUAAAGUUGAUGUAAAUAACAGUGUUUUCUUCAAUGAUAUCUUGGUGAGGUUUUAAUAAUUUCUCGGGUUAUUAAGCCCGAAUUUUGAUUUAAUGAUGAUUUUUUAAUUCGAACAUAAAAAAUAUGACAAAUAUAGCUUGUAUAAAUUUAUCACUUAAAUGUGUGGAUCAUUUUUUUUUUCUUAUUUAUUUUGAAUGAGGGAUUAAAUUUUUACACAAAAUGUUCUCUGCAAUUCAUAUUUAUGAGCUUGUAUUGAGGGAUCUCAAAAUCGAACAUAAUGCAAACUCUCAACUUCGAGGGAACAGCCUGUGACUUAAAAUAGAACACAUAUUAUUACCACUACUUAAAGAAACAAAUAUUUAUGUCCAAUAAAAUUAACAUCAAAUCUUGAUUUCUACAACUCGAGCUCAAGUCAAGAGCACUUCAUAUGAGUUAGCAACAUCUACACAAUGGCUUCUGUAGAGUGGAAGAGAUGAACCUCAUUUUACGAGCACGGACACGCUAUCGAACGAGGUCGGAAGAAAAAGAAUCCACGGGCCUUUCAGUUGGCUAGAAUCCGUUACUCCAACGAGUCUAUCUGCGUCUGCUUCUAGUCCGAGACGACGGUGAGCUUGAGGAAUCUACUCGACUUGACUCAGCUCGAUUCCUUUGCUUCUUUCUACGUCUCCACGUGAGUUGGAUCCGUCUAGCUGCAAUUCCUCGCCAGUAACGCAAUUCAUACCUACAACGCAAAGAAGGCAACGAGUAACAAUAUAUGAUGUGCCCUUGCAACCGAGCUCAUCAUCAAAUAUAUAUGCACACGAUGCUAUACAAUACACGAACGUGUUUGCAAGCUAACGAGCCCAAUACUCUCAAGUUACUCGAUUCAUUUAUAGGUUAUGCAUUAUAAAGAAGUUACCUUAUGUGGCCUCGACGUUUGUUAAACAAGUUACUAGAAAUCUACAGGAUGCAGAUGAGUCGAUUUUAGUAGACAUCAAGCUUGUGAAGCAGUAAUUCUUAAAUUAAAAAAUCCAACGCAGAGAGCAGCUAGAGACUCACCUGCUGCAGGGGAAGCAACUCUCCAUUCAGAAGCAACAUAAGCUACCCUGAACUGCAAAACGACGACGUACCCUUCACUUGUAAAACAUGUUUCACGCAAAUCCUUGAACAAGGGACUAAUGUUUUCACACUAAUCCAACUUAAAACAAUUCUGGUUACAAACACAAUUCAGCACUGAAGUUUUCAUAAUGAUCAUCGACAAAAUCCUUGGAUCGGCUCUUUCAUUUGCCUGAAAAUAGAUAGAUGACAAUCUCAAACACAGUGACUAUAUAUAACACUGAAAAUCCUUGUAAAACAUGUUUUCACACUAACCUGUUAGGCAAGUUGCAGACUCACUUGACCUCAAAAAGAAGAUUCGACAAAAAGAAGUUCAAAGGAAAACUUAUUUUUCUUAAUUGCCUCAGCAUGACAUAUAACAUUUUCUGUUAGUUUUACUCCUAUUACGUACAUAUUUUAUUUUAAGGUUAUUUUUUGUGUAUUAUAUACAUAUUGGGCCCAAGUCGGAAUAGAAGAAAAUUAUGUCAUGGGGAAUUCAGCCCAACUCAAAAUCUGGUUUUUGAUGUUGAAUUGUUGAGCUUAAUUUGAGUAAAUUGGUGUUUUAAUUGCUUCUUUGUUAUCAAUUCAAGGAAUAAAAAUGGAUUAUAGUUAGGCAUAAUUUAAAAGAUAAAUGAUGGAGCUGGGCUUAUAUUUUGUAUUGGGCCGAAAAUUUAUUUAUUAUAUGGAGAAGCCCAAUUAGUGUAUGUUAAUUCAUAGGUAAUAGGUUAGUUGAUAAAUGCCUUAGAUAUUUUAUUAAUGCUUAAGGCCAAAGGUCUUGGAUUCGAAUCUCAUGUGGCGCGGCCUUUAAAUUUCUUUAUUUAAUGCUGUAAUUUAUCAAAAAAAAAAAGUUUACUUCAUAGCUAAACCAACAACUCCUACGGUUACUAAUAAAAUUAACAUCAAAUCUUGAUUAAUUCUAUAACUCGAUCUAAAAUCAAGAGCACUUCAUAUGAGUUAGCAACAUCUACACAAUGGCUUCGGCAGAGUGGAAGAGAGGAACCUCAUCUUACGUACGAGCACGAACACGCUAUCGAACCUCAGUUGGCUAGAAUCCGUUACUCCAACAAGUCUUAUCUGCGUCUGCUUCUAGUCUGAGACGACGGUGAGCUUGAGGAAUCUACUCGGCUUGACUCAGCUCGAUUCGUUUGCUUCUUUCUGCAUCUCCACGCGAGUUGGAUCCGUCUACCUGCAAUUCCUCACCAAUAAGGCGAUUCAUACCUAUAAUGCAAAGAAGGCAACGAGUAGCAAUAUAUGAUGCUCACAAUGCUGUACACGAACGUGUUUGCAAGCUAACGAGCCCAAUACUUUCAAGUUAAUCGAUUCAUUUAUUGGUUAUGCAUUAUAAAGAAGUUACCUUAUGGCGCCUUGAACAAGUGAACUCCUGCGAAGAGAUCUUCAAAAACAGCAGCUCGUAAUACAAAGGCCUCGACAUUUGUUGAACAAGUUACUAGUAAUCUACAGACAGCAGAAACUCACCUGCGGCAGGGGAAGCAACUCUCGAUCGUCUCUUUCAUUUGCCUGAAAAUCGAUAGAUGGACAAUCUCAAACACUGUGACUAUAACAGAAACAUUAAGACGUAAUAUUGCAAAGUAGUAACACUAACCUGUUGGCAAGUGCAGACUCACUUGACCUCAAAAAGAAGAUUGAGAAGUGAAAGGAAACUUGUCUUUUAAUUCAUUGGCACAAGCACACUAAAGGAUUGCACUCGUAAAUAAUGUCUCUAUCCAAGAGUGUCAUACGGCCAAUCGAGCUGUUGUAAUUUGUAGCAGUGCCAUGCUAGUCUACGAAGCUCGGGAAGCUUCCACUUGAGGUCUCCAUCGCACCAAAUCGGUGUCUUCAAUUCGAAGUUCAAUAAGUUUCAAAAAACUCCCGGUGUUAUGUCCCACUCUGGGCCUCGAAAUGCAUAGUCAUUAAUAUAGAAUCUCGAGAUUUGGCAGCAGCGAACCAAUGUCAUUCAUGUAAUUCCAAGGAUACCCCCCUAAACCAGACAACACUAACACCUUGAGAUUUGAUGGAAACAUUGAAAGAGGAAUCAUAUUACACUCAUACUUUAUCUCGGGAUUCUUAACCCAAUAUCAAGUCUCUCCAAAUUCUGGAGUUGGGAAUAUAACCCAAGCAACUCGAUGGGUUUCUUUCAUCAUCAUCAUCAUCAUAAGGCUUCAACUCCACUUCAAUUAAUCCUUAAAUUAGGAAUUCUUUUGAGAACUUCCCUUGUACAACUGUUUCACUCACAAAAGUUUGAGUUUGUUCAAGGUAGCAUCAUAGUAUUAGGGGUGGUAGGUCCUUCCCCAAAUCUAAUCUCUAGUUCUUGCAGUCCAAAUUUGCACAGGCAUAUAAGACUGAACUCCACGCUUUUUAAUGUAAUAUGUGGAGAUAAUCAAGAAUUGAAGUAAAAAGUUGGAUAUGGAAGGAGGGAGCUCCCCGUUGCAUUUUAGGGAAAGGUACCGCAGAAAACAAGUUUAAAUUUCAAUUGGGAUAUGUAAAAUCGAACUCAAGAGCAAUAUACUCUAAGCAACUUGAAACCCAUGGCAUGUAUUGGAUUGGAUAUGUGAUAAGGACCAACAAAGGAGAGAACGGGCAGUGGAUGCACAUCACUUUUUAUCGAAUCAUACACUUGUUUGAAGCAAUAAACUAUAAUGGGCACACAAGCGGAGCUGGUCUUUUAUUACAUCAUCACAACCUCGUAAGACAUGUAGAAACUUGAUCCUACUAGCUUCUACCUUACAUAAGUGCUGCCAACAAGAAUGCACGCGAUACCGUCUACCCGAAUACCAAGAAUUUUCUGUGUCGAGAACAAGAUAAUACACCUGAGAAAGCUUUUCCCAGAAACCUUCAAAACUUUUUUCAACAUUCAGUUCAAGAAAGCCCUCAACACUCAAAAGAUAAUUAAUAUCGAAUGGUCUCUGAUCAGCAUAUGGAGGGAAAGCUCCCAUAUAGAGGAAAAACAUUUUUAAAUGUUGGGGUAAGUAGUCAUAGCUUGGGAAAAGUACCUCUGAUAUUUGAUUAUAUGCAUCCUCGAAAAGUGAGUUUUGUUGUUUGUAGGCUACCUCAGUCCAAUAUUCUGGGGUCUUGUCGGCUUUUGAUAGGAGCUCUGCAACUGUGACUAUCAUAAGAGGAAGACCUUCACAUUUCUCAGCAAUCUUCUCUCCCAGUUCCUCAAGUUGAGGAGGGAAACCGUCUUCACUAAACACCUUCACACCAAACACCUUCUCACCAAGUAGUUUCUUACUAUCUUCUUCAUUCAACAAGUUCAAUCUCAUGCCCCCAUGCUGCUUGUAUGUUAUACGUUGUCUACUUGUAAGUAAGAACUGAAUCCCUCCAAGAGUAUUCAUUUCUCGCAAGCAAUUUAUCAAGCGAUCCACUGCUUGUUCCUCCCAAACAUCAUCCAACACGAUGAGGCAUUUCUUAUCCUGCAAUUUUUCUUUCAAUAGUCCGACUAAUUCCUCAUCAUCAUCAUCUCCUUGGGCAAGCAUUCGGUAAGCGUUGGGAUCCACUUGAGCUAGAACGCAACGUAAUAGUUCAUUGGGUUCGCAUUUUCUGCCCACUUUGACCCAUGCUCGAAACUCAAAAUGGCUCCGAAUUGAUGGAUCUUCAAAAAUAUGUUUAGCAAGAGUUGUCUUUCCAACUCCCGCCAUCCCAACAAGCGAAUAGUGUUUAUCUUGAAGAAGAUUAUCUCUGGCUUUUUCAAGUUCAUAAGAUAAUCCAACCAUCUUUGAGUUGAUUCCACCAAAAUCAAUUCUUGAGGAAAUAGGCUCGCCUUCUUCUUCAGCCAUAUUCUUCAUUUCUUUAGUGUACUCCACCUUCAUCAUCUUCACCGUCUUGACGAAGCAAUCAACAUGGUGUUGCAGACUCUGCAGAUCUACAGAGAAUGACAAGUUGUGUCUCUCGCUUUCGAGUUGUGGAAGAAUCUGAGGUAAGAUAUGGGAUUCGAGUAAAUCUUCGAAUUCCCAAACUGCCUCUUUGAUUAGUUCAUCCAAAGCAUUCACCUUCGUCCUGAUCUUGCUGCAGCUGGUCUCGUCCAAUUUUAGCAGAACUUUCUGCAAGCGAUCCAUCUCGUCGUAGGCAGGCUGUAAGAUUUGUGGAGAGUGGGAAACGAGAGAAAUGCGAGACGAUUGUAGAAUACGCAGAAUCGUAUUCUUGAGAGAAGCCGCCGCACCAUAAGCCGCCAUACCCAAAUUAUCAGCUGAGAUACGAUAUAUUGUUGAAAUGAAAUUGCUUAGGUCUGCAAUUUUCCUCCAAAAUGAAGCUUAAACUAA